rnacentral:rRNA from 1 species
AUUAAACGCUGGCGGCAUGCCUUACACAUGCAAGUCGAACGGUAACAGGUCUUCGGAUGCUGACGAGUGGCGAACGGGUGAGUAAUACAUCGGAACGUGCCUAGUAGUGGGGGAUAACUACUCGAAAGAGUGGCUAAUACCGCAUGAGAUCUACGGAUGCAAACAGGGGAUCGCAAGACCUUGUGCUACUAGAGCGGCCGAUGGCAGAUUAGGUAGUUGGUGGGAUAAAAGCUUACCAAGCCGACGAUCUGUAGCUGGUCUGAGAGGACGAUCAGCCACACUGGGACUGAGACACGGCCCAGACUCCUACGGGAGGCAGCAGUGGGGAAUUCUGGACAAUGGGCGCAAGCCUGAUCCAGCAAUGCCGCGUGCAGGAUGAAGGCCUUCGGGUUGUAAACUGCUUUUGUACGGAACGAAAAGCCCUGGGUUAAUACCCUGGGGUCAUGACGGUACCGUAAGAAUAAGCACCGGCUAACUACGUGCCAGCCGCCGCCGUAAGAC